GAUCAUGGCUCAGGACGAACGCUGGCGGCGUGCUUAACACAUGCAAGUCGAACGGAGCACCCUUGAUUGAGGUUUCGGCCAAAUGAUAGGAAUGCUUAGUGGCGGACUGGUGAGUAACGCGUGAGGAACCUGCCUUUCAGAGGGGGACAACAGUUGGAAACGACUGCUAAUACCGCAUGACGCAUUUUGAUCGCAUGGUCGAAAUGCCAAAGAUUUAUCGGUGAUGGAUGGGGA
rnacentral:rRNA from 1 species